GCAGCCCAAAUUCUGCUAACGGGGAAGAAAUACCUCUGCUGCAAGCUGUGUCAACUCCUCCUCAAUUGACGACCGAUAAGCCUGUGAUUGGCUGGAAAUCAAUAGAGACCUUUGAAACUCCCCUUUUCUGAUUUUGAGAAACUAUCGAUAUCUGAAUUGUCCCAAAGAGGUAUCAUCCUUCUAAGGUUUUGCUAUCAUUAAAGAAAAAGCUUCUUUUAGGAUUUUUAGAGAAAGCAAUGGGCAGAUAAAACAAGAUGGCUAUAAUUAAUGGUCAUAUUGAGAAUCCAAAUCCUGAGUUAAGUCCUGUGACGCGAGCCAGCCAGCAAAUGGCUACAAAUAAAGGGAA